AUUGAACGCUGGCGGCAGGCUUAACACAUGCAAGUCGAGCGGAGCGAGGGUGCUUGCACCUUAGCUUAGCGGCGGACGGGUGAGUAAUGCUUAGGAAUCUGCCUAUUGGUGGGGGACAACAUUCCGAAAGGGAUGCUAAUACCGCAUACGCCCUACGGGGGAAAGCAGGGGAUCUUCGGACCUUGCGCUAAUAGACGAGCCUAAGUCGGAUUAGCUAGUUGGUGGGGUAAAGGCCUACCAAGGCGACGAUCUGUAGCGGGUCUGAGAGGAGGAUCCGCCACACUGGGACUGAGACACGGCCCAGACUCCUACGGGAGGCAGCAGUGGGGAAUAUUGGACAAUGGGCGGAAGCCUGAUCCAGCCAUGCCGCGUGUGUGAAGAAGGCCUUUUGGUUGUAAAGCACUUUAAGCGAGGAGGAGGCUACUAGUAUUAAUACUACUGGAUAGUGGACGUUACUCGCAGAAUAAGCACCGGCUAACUCUGUGCCAGCCGCCGCAGUAACAC
rnacentral:rRNA from 1 species